UACGUAGGGUGCAAGCGUUAAUCGGAAUUACUGGGCGUAAAGCGUGCGCAGGCGGUUUUGUAAGUCAGAUGUGAAAUCCCCGGGCUUAACCUGGGAACUGCGUUUGAAACUACAAGGCUAGAGUGUGGCAGGAGGGGGGUGGAAUUCCACGUGUAGCAGUGAAAUGCGUAGAGAUGUGGAGGAACACCGAUGGCGAAGGCAGCCCCCUGGGUUAACACUGACGCUCAGGCACGAAAGGCGUGGGGAGCGAACAGG
rnacentral:rRNA from 1 species